rnacentral:rRNA from 1 species
UACGUAGGGUGCAAGCGUUAAUCGGAAUUACUGGGCGUAAAGCGUGUGUAGGCGGCUUUGCAAGUCAGAUGUGAAAUCCCCGGGCUUAACCUGGGAACUGCAUUUGUGACUGCAUGGCUGGAGUGCGGCAGAGGGGGAUGGAAUUCCGCGUGUAGCAGUGAAAUGCGUAGAUAUGCGGAGGAACACCGAUGGCGAAGGCAAUCCCCUGGGCCUGCACUGACGCUCAUGCACGAAAGCGUGGGGAGCAAACAGG